CAGGGCACCAGCCCACUCACCAGCUACAGGAUGCUGAGGCACAGUUCUGCGGAACUGGAGUGAAAGAUCAUGAAUGAACCCUCACUGUGAGACCGUAUCACCUGGAGGGAUGUCACAAUGGUAGAUUGCAUUUGGAACUCUGGCUAAUUAGGCUGUCUCUGACAAGUCCUCAGGACUUCAACCCAGACUUGAAGACCCCUUAAAGCUAGAAACUGAGAUUUGUUACGGAUGCCCAGUGUAGGAAUUCAAGAGGCAGAAUCGGGACUUUCUCUGCAGCCACUGGUCUGAACUUCUUAAAGACAUUCAGUAUUUACUGAGGUUAAGGUGAAAUCAUACCAAGGGCAGAAAAGUAACCACAGGGGCCUCUAUCCUCCCUAUUGAUGAUACAAUCAGUGUAGAGUAUUGCUAUGCUGUAAGUCCUGAUUGUCACACUCAUCAAAGCACUUAACAUUGUCAUGUGUGUCUAAACGAGGCCUUUUUCCAAAUAGAUCUUUUAAGUUUGUCUAGGCUCAUCGGCUGCUGACCAGGCUCUCGACCCCAACGCACACCACACGCCUGCUGAAAUCAGAGGCUAAUGUGAUACUGUUUUGGUGUUCAUUAGCAGCGUUUGACAAAUAUACUCAAUCCUGUGUCCAUGCACCUGCAGAUUCAACCAACUGUGGAUGGAAAAGCUUCUCUCUGGUCCUUCCAGACCAUCCUUAUCGGUCAUCUUUCCUGCACAGCUGCUUCUGAGGCCUCCUGGAUGCCGGCACUCUUCAGCCUGGGCUGGCACCGAUUGCUGUGCGCAUCUCUAUCGCUGCCCGUGCUCGGUACCUUCCUCGUUGCUGUGAUGAAUACUGGACAGUAGCAAUCUUCCUCCUUUAUAUUCUGCCUGGGACCCCAGUCCAUGGGAUAGUGCCACCCACAUUUGAGUGGGACAUUCCUCCUCAGUCAAACUUUUCUGGAGAUAACCGCACAAACAUCCCAGGUAUGGAUUUCCAUGGUGACUCUAAACCCCAUGAAGUUGACAAUGAAGACUGACCACCAUGGAGC